UACAUGGAGUCCAAGCGUUAUCCGGAUUUACUGGGCGUAAAGCGUCCGCAGGCUUCCAAGCCAGUUCCUGGUGAAAUCUCACGGCCCAACCGUGAGACUGUCAGGAAUACUACUUGGAUUGAGUAUGGCAGAGGUAAGGGGAAUUCCCGGUGUAGGGGUAAAAUCCGUUGAUAUCGGGAAGAACACCAGUGGCGAAGGCGCCUUGCUGGGCCAUCACUGACGCUCAGGGACGAAAGCGUGGGGAGCGAACAGG
rnacentral:rRNA from 1 species